GUUGAUGUAGCUUACUAAAUAAAAGCACGGCACUGAAGAUGCCGAGACGAGAAAUAACAUUCUCCAAAAACA
rnacentral:tRNA from 1 species